rnacentral:lncRNA from 1 species
ACUCAUAAAUAAGAUCUACGAAAUUGACAAGCAAACAUUAUUACAUAGAUAUACUUAUCUGUCUAGGAUUCAAGGAAACAAAUAAAGGUGGCUUAUGACGGUUAGGUCCAUUCAUAGCAAAAUUCAAGAUUUAAAUUAUCGAGACAGACAUUAUUUUUUUUUUUUUAAAAAGAAAAAGAAUAGAAAAGGCAGAAGUGGAAAGAUAACCCUGUCGCUUAUACUAUAGAAUCAAACACUCAUUCCUGAAAGGCUUUUAUUCUGCUGUCCCUAUAUCAGAUUAACCUAAUAAUAAUGGACUAGUUACAGGAGGGAUAGCUCUAAGAAACUUAAGUAAAAUAAACAGAUAAAAGAUUACAAACCUAGAAGAGAAGGCGCUCGCAUCAUCUUGCAUUCUGUUAUCCUGAUGAAGAAGCCUGCCUGAAAUUUUCCAAUGUGUUGUCUGCUUACCUCCUUGGUAAAAUUCUUGAAAUUAACGGAUGACAAGAAAGUAAACUUCUAUCUUGAGAAUAGUGAUUAGCAGAGAGCAAAAGAUUAUAAUCCAAUAGGUGCUAGUGCCAUCCAAUUUUUAAUCCUUUGAAACCCGAACAACUAAGCCACUGGGUGUCUGAAAAGUUUUGAGUUUACCAGAUCCAAUAAGGUCNNN